UCGGAUCUACUCCGAUCAUCCUCGAUCGAAUGUAUUAUUCCCACCCUAACACCAUUUUAUAUGUACUUGUUGGUGUUUAUAUUGUUUUUCUUGGUGUCUAUAUUGUUUAUGUUGGUGUUUAUUGAUUAUAUUGUUUAUUCUAUGGUUGUAGAUAAAAUGGUUGUAUCAAAUGGUUAAUGAUUGUUAUCAAAUAAUAAUAAAAUGAAAUGGUUUGUCUAUUAUUUGUGUUUUGUGUAUUGAAUUUAGGGUUUUGUGUUUUGUGAUUUGUGUUUUUGUGUUUUGUGUUUUAAAUGUGUUUUGUGUUUUGUGUUUUGUGUUUUUGUGUUCUGUUAAUUAAGAAAGGAGAUGAUAUGUUUGUAGAUGACGGAUUUCAAUGAAUCCAUGUUAUUUAUAUGUUACUUAUUGUAGAUGACGGAUUUUUGUGUUACUUAUAUUUUUGUGUUUUGUGAAUGAUGAUAUGUUAAGAAAGGAAAUGAUAUGUUAUUUGUAGAUGGCGUAUUUAUGUUAUUUAUGAAUCAAGGAGAUGAUAUGUUUGUGUAUUGAAAUUUACUUAUGAAUCAAAUGUUAAGAAUUUACAUAUCAAAUGUUUUGUAAUUCUUUAGUAAUUACUGAAAUUCUUUAGUAAUUACAUAUCAAAUGAAUCAAGGAGAUGAUAAGAAUUUACUGAAAUUCUUUAGUAAUUACACUGUUUUGUCUUAUGUUAAGAAUAAUUAGAUAAAUAUGAAUCAAUUAUGAAUCAAAUGUGAAUCAAAGAAUAUGAAUCAAGAUAAUAGUUAGAAUCAAGAUAAUUAAUUAAAAUAAUUUAAAAUAAUUUUAAAAUUACUGAAAUUCUUUAUAUUAUUUUCUGUUAUGAAUUAAAUAAUUAAUAAUUUGUUUAAAUAAAAAAAUAAAUAAUUUAAAAAUUAAGUAAUUAAAUAAAUUAUUUUGUCUUAUACUUGUAAUUAAUUAAUUUGCAUGUAAUUAUAAAUGUGUUAACUAAUAAUUAUAAAAUUGUAUCAAAUUAAUCUGUUAAUUAAAAUGUUAAUUAAAUAAUUAGAAAAAAUGUAAUUACUGUGUCUUAAUAAUUUAAAAUUAAAAUAAUUAGUUAUUAAAAUAAUUUAAAUAAUGUUUUGAAUUAAUUAAAUGACAUACUGUUUUUAAAUAAUUAAUUAAUGAAAGUUUUUCAUAUUUUAAAAUAAUCAAUUAUUUUACAAUUAUUGCAAUUAUUUUACAAUUAUUUCAUAUUUAUUACAAUUCAUAUUUUAAAUUAAAAAAUUAUUUGACUUGAUGUUGUUGACUUGAUGUAGGUUAAUUUUGAAAAUCAAGAAUCCAAUAAAUUUGGAUUGAAUUAAGCUAUAUUGCGGUAUGAAAAUUAUACAUUUUUUUUAAUCUUUUUGUUUUAAAAAUAUUUAAUGAAUUUGCAUGCAUGUAAAUAUAUAUAAAUUUGUUAAUUAGUAAUUAUUAAAUUGACUGAUUGUAAAUGCUAUCAAUAAUAAUUAAUUUGCAUGAAAUUGUUAAUUAAUAAUUAUAAAAUUGAAUUAUUUUAAAUUUUAUCAAUAAUUAAUAAUUUGCAUAAAAUAAUUAAUUAAUUAUUUUUUAAUUAAAUUGAAUGAUUUUAAAUUGAAUUAAUAAUGAUUAAUUAAUUUGCAUGAAAUAUUAGAAAUGUUAAUGAAUAAUUAUGAAAUUGAAUGAUUUUAAAUUGAAAUAAAAAUUAUUAAUUUGCUAAUUAUUUGUUAAUAGUAAUUAUGAAAUUGAAAUGUUAAUGAUUAAUUUGCUUGAAAAGAAAAAUUUGUUAAAUAAUUAGUAAUUAUUAUGUAUUGAUUAAUUAAUUAUUUCUUUAUUUAAAAAAUAUUAAAUUAAUUAAUUUAAUAUUUUUUUAGAUUUUAAGAAAUGUCACGUAGAGUGAAGCAAUUACCUCGUCGGAGGACGCUCUACCACCCAAUCCCCAAGAUAAUAGUCAAUUAAUUUUUAUCUAAUUAAUUAUAAUUCGAUAAAAAUUUUAGGAUAAUGUCGAACGUUAUGAAAGUACCCGAUAAAGCUUGGAUGAGUUUAGAUCGGUUUUCGAAAGAAUACGGCGAAGGGUUAACAGCUUUUACUAAUUUCGCCAUUUCGAAUUCGACUCAUCCAGAAGGUUAUUUACCAUGUCCAUGCUCGUCCUGCACGAAUAGUGAAGUGAUUCCUAUAAAGGAGAUGAGGAAGCAUAUUUUCAUAAAUGGUUGGUUGAAACAUUACGAUGUUUGGACGCGUUACGGAGAGUUACCGAGUAGAUAUGGUGAGAAAAAAGUGAAACGAAAAGAAACAGUGCCGGAAACUGGUAACGAUAUGAUUGGAUUGGUUCGUGCGGUUUACGGAGAACAUGUAGUUGACAAUACAGUCGACGAAGAUUUUCACAAAAACAUAGAUUAUUAUUGUCGUGUUUUUGCUUGUUUCCGUUGCGGAGUCAACGGUCAUCAUUUUCAGAACUGUCCAAAAUUAUGGUCGACAAAUCCUCAAACAAUGGAAACCGGUCAGAUUUUAGUGUUAGGAUACGAGGCUAGAGUGUUGAAUGAUUGUGGUGGCACACAUUCAUUCAAAAUCGAAUACAACUCUUCUCACGACGACUUCGAAGAUUUGUUGUGUUUAAUAAUAAAAAAUGUAAAUUACAAUAGGAAAAAUGUUUGGUUGUUGUGUCAGACCAAGACCCCAUAUACGGGUGUCUGGCUAUGUAUUUAAAAUAACUGAUUUUAUUUUAAAAUUGUAAUAUUUCAGAUUAUGUUUACCUUUUUCUUUCUGGUUGGUGUCAUCACACCUUUCAUGGCAUUAGCGAUGGUUACAUCCCGUCGCUCUUUCGAGGAGUCCAGUUCGAGUGGUCAGUUUAUUAUUUAUAUUUUAAAUAUUAUCAUGAUUUUUAUUAAAUAUUAAUUUUUAAAUAUGUAAAUUAAUUAGAUGCGAGACCAUCCACUUCAAAUGUGCCUCCACAAAAGAAGGGUCGUGGUCGCACAAAAGACCACCCCCAUAACCAUCCAGAGAAAGGUACGAAGUGGAAGGUUAUGUUUGAUAACACAAACCAAGCCACAGAUGAAAUGGCGAAGAAGUUAACGAC
rnacentral:lncRNA from 1 species